rnacentral:lncRNA from 1 species
GUCCAUGUGGUGGCUUGUGGGGUGGCUUGUGUUUUGGUACUGGUUUCUGUCCCUUUCCUUUAUAUGAAUCCUCGGCUAGCUCUUCCUCAGCCAAAAGAUGUCCAUGUGGCGGCUUAUGCUUUGGUGGUGGCUUAUUACCCUUAUGUGAGUCCUCUACAACCUCUGUAGCUAAAAGACGUCUGAGGGGUGGUUUGUGCUCUGGUGGUGGCUUGUGCGGUGGUUUGUGCUCGGAUGAUGGCUUUUGAGGUGGAAAAUUCUUAGGAGGUGGUUUCUCUCCCUUACCCUUAAAUGGCGGUUUUUGGAAGUCCUCUACGCUAUCCUCGCUUAAUAGGUGCCCAUGUGGUGGCUUGUGUGGUGGUUUGUGCUCUGGUGUUGGCUUUUGAGGUGGAAAAUUCUUAGGUGGUGGCUUUUGAGGUGGAAAAUUCUUAGGAGGUGGGUUCUCUCCCUUACCCUUAAAUGGUGGUUUUUGGAAGUCCUCUUCGCUAUCCUCACUUAAUAGGUGACCAUGUGGUGGCUUGUGUGGGGGGUUGUGCUCUGGGGGUGGCUUUUGAGGUGGGAAAUUCUUAGGUGGUGGCUUUUGAGGUGGAAAAUUCUUAGGAGGUGGGUUCUCUCCCUUACCCUUAAAUGGUGGUUUUUGGAAGUCCUCUUCGCUAUCCUCACUUAAUAGGUGACCAUGUGGUGGCUUGUGUGGUGGGUUGUGGUCUGGUGUUGGCUUUUGAGGUGGAAAAUUCUUAGGAGGUGGUUUCUCUCCCUUACCCUUGUAAGGUGGAUCAUGGACAUCCUCUACAUUAUCCUCACUUAACAGAUGACCAUGUGGUGGCUUGUGCUGUGAGUGGUGGUGAUCAUAAUGAUCAGCUAAUGAAGAAGAAAUGGAGAGAAUCACGACUGCUCCAAUAAGGAGCAACACUCGCAAGUUUUUAGAAGAGAACAUGUUUGA